rnacentral:tRNA from 1 species
GAAUUUUCAAUAAUUAAGCCGCUAACUUAAUUUAUAGUGUAUAAACAUUAAAAAUUCU